rnacentral:rRNA from 1 species
UACGGAGGGUGCAAGCGUUAAUCGGAAUUACUGGGCGUAAAGCGUGCGCAGGCGGUUUGUUAAGUCUGCUGUGAAAUCCCCGAGCUCAACUUGGGAAUUGCAGUGGAUACUGGCAAGCUGGAGUACGGUAGAGGAAGGUGGAAUUCCCGGUGUAGCAGUGAAAUGCGUAGAGAUCGGGAGGAACACCGGUGGCGAAGGCGGUUCUCUGGGCCUUACCUGACGCUGAGGAGCGAAAGCGUGGGGAGCGAACAGG